UACGGAGGGUGCAAGCGUUAUCCGGAUUCACUGGGUUUAAAGGGUGUGUAGGCGGGUAUUUAAGUCAGUGGUGAAAUCUCCAGGCUCAACCUGGAAACUGCCAUUGAUACUAUUUAUCUUGAAUACUGUUGAGGUAGGCGGAAUAAGUCAUGUAGCGGUGAAAUGCAUAGAUAUGACUUAGAACACCAAUUGCGAAGGCAGCUUACUAAACAGUUAUUGACGCUGAGGCACGAAAGCGUGGGGAUCAAACAGG
rnacentral:rRNA from 1 species